CCUACGGGGUGCAGCAGUGAGGAAUAUUGGUCAAUGGACGAGAGUCUGAACCAGCCAAGUAGCGUGAAGGAUGACUGCCCUAUGGGUUGUAAACUUCUUUUAUAUGGGAAUAAAAUGUUCCACGUGUGGGAUUUUGUAUGUACCAUAUGAAUAAGGAUCGGCUAACUCCGUGCCAGCAGCCGCGGUAAUACGGAGGAUCCGAGCGUUAUCCGGAUUUAUUGGGUUUAAAGGGGGCGUAGGUGGAUUGUUAAGUCAGUUGUGAAAGUUUGCGGCUCAACCGUAAAAUUGCAGUUGAAACUGGCAGUCUUGAGUACAGUAGAGGUGGGCGGAAUUCGUGGUGUAGCGGUGAAAUGCUUAGAUAUCACGAAGAACUCCGAUUGCGAAGGCAGUUCACUGGACUGCAACUGACACUGAGGCUCGAAAGUGUGGGUAUCAAACAGGAUUAGAUACCCUGGUAGUC
rnacentral:rRNA from 1 species